rnacentral:rRNA from 1 species
UAAAGCGUGCGCAGGCGGUUAUAUAAGACAGAUGUGAAAUCCCGGGCUCAACCUGGGAACUGCAUUUGUGACUGUAUAGCUGGAGUGCGGCAGAGGGGGAUGGAAUUCCGCGUGUAGCAGUGAAAUGCGUAGAUAUGCGGAGGAACACCGAUGGCGAAGGCAAUCCCCUGGGCCUGCACUGACGCUCAUGCACGAAAGCGUGGGGAGCAAACAGGAUUAGAUACCCUAGU